rnacentral:rRNA from 1 species
UACGGAGGGAGCUAGCGUUAUUCGGAAUUACUGGGCGUAAAGCGUACGUAGGCGGCUUUGCAAGUUAGAGGUGAAAGCCUGGAGCUCAACUCCAGAACUGCCUUUAAAACUGCAUCGCUUGAAUCCAGGAGAGGUGAGUGGAAUUCCGAGUGUAGAGGUGAAAUUCGUAGAUAUUCGGAAAGAACACCAGUGGCGAAGGCGGCUCACUGGACUGGUAUUGACGCUGAGGUGCGAAAGCGUGGGGAGCAAACAGG